rnacentral:rRNA from 1 species
GCACAAGCGGUGGAGCAUGUGGUUUAAUUCGAAGCAACGCGAAGAACCUUACCAAAUCUUGACAUCUUUUGACAACUCUAGAGAUAGAGCCUUCCCCUUCGGGGGACAAAGUGACAGGUGGUGCAUGGUUGUCGUCAGCUCGUGUCGUGAGAUGUUGGGUUAAGUCCCGCAACGAGCGCAACCCUUAAGCUUAGUUGCCAUCAUUAAGUUGGGCACUCUAAGUUGACUGCCGGUGACAAACCGGAGGAAGGUGGGGAUGACGUCAAAUCAUCAUGCCCCUUAUGAUUUGGGCUACACACGUGCUACAAUGGACAAUACAAAGGGCAGCGAAACCGCGAGGUCAAGCAAAUCCCAUAAAGUUGUUCUCAGUUCGGAUUGUAGUCUGCAACUCGACUACAUGAAGCUGGAAUCGCUAGUAAUCGUAGAUCAGCAUGCUACGGUGAAUACGUUCCCGGGC